rnacentral:lncRNA from 1 species
ACCGAUAAUUAAUAUGAAUUUAACUUAAUUAUCAUUGUGAAGAUAAACACUGUUCAAACAUCUUUUUUUUUAAAAAAAAAAAAUCCUCUCUCCAAAAUCAUGGAUCUCAAUCAUCUCUUUUCUCGAAAAUUUUGAAUUCCUAAACACCUUUCCUCAAAAUAAUUUUUAAAUAAACAAAAAUUCAAUGCACCAAAAAUCAUUCAAACAUGUAAUGCAAUGAAUAAAAUUAUGCAACAAACACCAAUCAAAGCAUUACACUAAAGAUAAAAAAUGACUAAGAUGAGGAGCAAGAAAAGAUAU